rnacentral:rRNA from 1 species
ACGGGUGAGUAACACGUAGGUAACCUGCCCCCCCAGUCUGGAACAACUAGAGGAAACUCUAGCUAAUGCCGGAUGAGACCACGAUUCCCCGUUCGGGGGGUUGCGGCCAAAGAUGGCCUCUACUUGUAAGCUAUCGCUGAGGGAUGGGCCUGCGGGCCAUUAGCUUGUUGGUGAGGUAACGGCUCACCAAGGCUGUGAUGGCUAGCUGGUCUGAGAGGAUGACCAGCCACACUGGGACUGAGACACGGCCCAGACUCCUACGGGAGGCAGCAGUGGGGAAUAUUGCGCAAUGGGCGAAAGCCUGACGCAGUGACGCCGCGUGGGUGAUGAAGGCCUUCGGGUCGUAAAGCCCUGUCGCAGGGGAAGAAUAAGCAUCGGUAUAAUACGCCGGUGCCCUGACGGUACCCUGCAAGAAAGCACCGGCUAACUCCGUG